rnacentral:rRNA from 1 species
GACGAACGCUGGCGGCGUGCCUAAUACAUGCAAGUAGAACGCUGAAGGAGGAGCUUGCUCUUCUGGAUGAGUUGCGAACGGGUGAGUAACGCGUAGGUAACCUGCCUGGUAGCGGGGGAUAACUAUUGGAAACGAUAGCUAAUACCGCAUAAGAGUAGAUGUUGCAUGACAUUUACUUAAAAGGUGCACUUGCAUCACUACCAGAUGGCCCUGCGUUGUAUUAGCUAGUUGGUGGGGUAACGGCUUACCAAGGCGACGAUACAUAGCCGACCUGAGAGGGUGAUCGGCCACACUGGGACUGAGACACGGCCCAGACUCCUACGGGAGGCAGCAGUAGGGAAUCUUCGGCAAUGGACGGAAGUCUGACCGAGCAACGCCGCGUGAGUGAAGAAGGUUUUCGGAUCGUAAAGCUCUGUUGUAAGAGAAGAAAGAGUGUGAGAGUGGAAAGUUCACACUGUGACGGUAUCUUACCAGAAAGGGACGGCUAACUACGUG